rnacentral:rRNA from 1 species
CCAAGACUGACGCUCAGGUGCGAAAGCGUGGGGAGCAAACAGGAUUAUAUACCCUGGUAGUCCACGCUGUAAACGAUGUCAACUUGGAGUCUGUGCCAUUUGAGCGCGGGUUCCGGAGCUAACGCGUUAAGUUGACCGCCUGGGGAGUACGGCCGCAAGGUUAAAACUCAAAUGAAUUGACGGGGGCCCGCACAAGCGGUGGAUCAUGUGGUUUAAUUCAAUGCAACGCUAACAACCUUACCUACCCUUGACAUAGUAAGAACUUGACAGAGAUGACUUGGUGCCUUCGGGAACUUACAUACAGGUGCUGCAUGGCUGUCUUCAGCUCGUGUCGUGAUAUGUUGGGUUAACUCCCGCUACGAGCGCAACCCUUGUCCUUUGUUGCCAUCGAUUCUGGCGGGAACUCUAAGGAGACUGCCGGUGAUAAACCGGAGGAAAGUGGGGACGACUUCAAGGCAUCAUGGUCCUUACUGGUAGGGCUACACACGUGCUACAAUGGCGCGUACAGAGGGGGGUGAACCACCGAUGGUAAACGAAUCCCAAAAAGCUCUUCGAAGGCCGGAUCCUACUCUGCUGCUCUACUCCCCGAACUCUGAAUCUUUAGUCAGA